rnacentral:lncRNA from 1 species
AUGUAAAUGGUUACGGAUAUCUCAAAUUUUAUCCAAAUUCGAAGCUGAACGGAUUAAAUUUAUUUUAUGUUAAAUAAAUAUAAUUUUAGAUAUAAAUAUUAAAAAUAAAAAUUUGAUAGAUAUGAAUUUUGAUUGUACCCGAUCUGAAUUCAAACCCUAUUCGAAUUCGACUUGAAUCUGAAUUUAUUUUACAUUAUAUAUAAUAUGUAUAUAUAAAUUUAAUAUUAUAUAAUAUGUAUAUGAAAAUUUAAUAUUAUAUAAUAUGUAUAUGAAAUGAGAAAUAAUUGUUUUGGUUUCAAAUUUUUGAGUUCGGAUUUGGAUUUGGAUAUGAAUUUUUAAAAUCCGUUGGGUUGAAAUUCAGGUUUUGGGUUGAGAUUCAAGUUUGGAGUCGGGUUGGGGUUCGGAGUCGGGUUGGGGUUCGGAUUUUUAAAAAUCCACCCGAAAUCCGCCCCGUUGACAUUCCUAAACAAAAGAG